rnacentral:rRNA from 1 species
GACGAACGCUGGCGGCGUGCUUAACACAUGCAAGUCGAACGAAGAGCGAUGGAAGCUUGCUUCUAUCAAUCUUAGUGGCGAACGGGUGAGUAACGCGUAAUCAACCUGCCCUUCAGAGGGGGACAACAGUUGGAAACGACUGCUAAUACCGCAUACGAUCUAACCUCGGCAUCGAGGAGAGAUGAAAGGUGGCCUCUACAUGUAAGCUAUCACUGAAGGAGGGGAUUGCGUCUGGUUUGCUAGUUGGCGGGGUAACGGCCCACCAAGGCGAUGGUCAGUAGCCGGUCUGAGAGGAUGGACGGCCACAUUGGGACUGGGACACGGCCCAGACUCCUACGGGAGGCAGCCGUGGGGAAUCUUCCGCAAUGGGCGAAAGUCUGACGGAGCAACGCCGCGUGGGGGAUGACGGCCUUCGGGUUGGAAAGCUCUGUUAAUCGGGACGAAAGGCCUUCUUGCGAAUAGUUAGAAGGAUUGACGGUACCGGAAGAGAAAGCCACGGCUAACUACGUG